ACGCACGCUGGCGGCGUGCUUCACCCCUGCCAGUCGCACGGAAAGGCCCUGCUUUUGUGGGGUGCUCGAGUGGCGAACGGGUGAGUAACACGUGAGUAACCUGCCCUUGACUUUGGGAUAACUUCAGGAAACUGGGGCUAAUACCGGAUAGGAGCUCCUGCUGCAUGGUGGGGGUUGGAAAGUUUCGGCGGUUGGGGAUGGACUCGCGGCUUAUCAGCUUGUUGGUGGGGUAGUGGCUUACCAAGGCUUUGACGGGUAGCCGGCCUGAGAGGGUGACCGGCCACAUUGGGACUGAGAUACGGCCCAGACUCCUACGGGAGGCAGCAGUGGGGAAUAUUGCACAAUGGGCGGAAGCCUGAUGCAGCAACGCCGCGUGCGGGAUGACGGCCUUCGGGUUGUAAACCGCUUUCGCCUGUGACGAAGCGUGAGUGACGGUAAUGGGCAAAGAAGCACCGGCUAACUACGUG
rnacentral:rRNA from 1 species